AUGUUAAAUAAUUACUUUUCCUCAGGAUUUACUGUAGAAAAGGAGGAGGGCCUGCCUGAAGUCCCAAAGGAACUAACAGAGGAUCAGGGACAGAGACUGAAUAAAGUUAAUGUCAAGAAAGGGAGGGAGAGACCGAGAGAGGGAAAGGGAACCAGAGACUCUGAGCCAGCUGCUGGUUUUCUCCGAGGCCGUGAGAGGUCUCAGCCCCAGCUGACCCUACUGCCCCCCUCCCCGGAGCAGGUCCAGACCAAGGGCACUGCCACCCUGGUGUGCCUUGCCAAUCACUUCUAUCCCGAUGAGCUGGAGGUGCAGUGGAAGAAGGAUGGUGCAGCCAUUUCGGACGGGGUUCAGACCAGCAACUACCUGCGAGCUUCGGACAGCACCUACAGUGUCAGCAGCCUGCUGACCCUCUCUGGCUCUGACUGGGAGUCCAACGCUCGCUUCUCCUGUACUCUCACUCACGUCACCCUCUCCUCUCCCCUCAGCAAGAGCAUCAGGAGAUCAGAAUGUCUGUAGUGUGUUUGAGACAGUACACAGAGGAGACACUUUAAAUAUAACAGGGC